CCUACGGGCGGCAGCAGUGAGGAAUAUUGGUCAAUGGACGAGAGUCUGAACCAGCCAAGUAGCGUGAAGGAUGACUGCCCUAUGGGUUGUAAACUUCUUUUAUAUGGGAAUAAAACGUUCCACGUGUGGGAUUUUGUAUGUACCAUAUGAAUAAGGAUCGGCUAACUCCGUGCCAGCAGCCGCGGUAAUACGGAGGAUCCGAGCGUUAUCCGGAUUUAUUGGGUUUAAAGGGAGCGUAGGUGGAUUGUUAAGUCAGUUGUGAAAGUUUGCGGCUCAACCGUAAAAUUGCAGUUGAAACUGGCAGUCUUGAGUACAGUAGAGGUGGGCGGAAUUCGUGGUGUAGCGGUGAAAUGCUUAGAUAUCACGAAGAACUCCGAUUGCGAAGGCAGUUCACUGGACUGCAACUGACACUGAGGCUCGAAAGUGUGGGUAUCAAACAGGAUUAGAGACCCUGGUAGUC
rnacentral:rRNA from 1 species